UACGUAGGGGGCAAGCGUUGUCCGGAAUCAUUGGGCGUAAAGCGCGUGUAGGCGGUUCGAUAAGUCUGCUGUGAAAGUCAAAGGCUUAACCUUUGAAUGCCAGUGGAUACUGUCGGACUAGAGUGCGGAAGAGGCAAGUGGAAUUCCUGGUGUAGCGGUGAAAUGCGCAGAUAUCAGGAGGAACACCAACGGCGAAGGCAGCUUGCUGGGACGUUACUGGCGCUGAGACGCGAAAGCGUGGGGAGCAAACAGG
rnacentral:rRNA from 1 species